CCUACGGGCGGCAUCAGUGGGGAAUAUUGGACAAUGGGGGGAACCCUGAUCCAGCCAUGCCGCGUGUGUGAAGAAGGCCCUCGGGUUGUAAAGCACUUUCAGUGAGGAAGAACGCCUGGUGGUUAAUACCCAUCAGGAAAGACAUCACUCACAGAAGAAGCACCGGCUAACUCCGUGCCAGCAGCCGCGGUAAUACGGAGGGUGCGAGCGUUAAUCGGAAUUACUGGGCGUAAAGCGCGCGUAGGUGGCUUGAUAAGCCGGUUGUGAAAGCCCCGGGCUCAACCUGGGAACGGCAUCCGGAACUGUCAAGCUAGAGUGCAGGAGAGGAAGGUAGAAUUCCCGGUGUAGCGGUGAAAUGCGUAGAGAUCGGGAGGAAUACCAGUGGCGAAGGCGGCCUUCUGGACUGACACUGACACUGAGGUGCGAAAGCGUGGGUAGCAAACAGGAUUAGAUACCCGUGUAGUC
rnacentral:rRNA from 1 species